AAACAUUUUUUAAACCAAGUAAGGGGAAAUUGGCCAGUUUCUAAGGCUACUAACUGUUGGGCCAGCCUGGAAAAGGGACCAGUCUCACCUUUCCUGAUAUCUUUCCUCUCUUUUCCAGGCAAUGGAACAUGGCCAAGUGAGAGUAGCACAUCUUUUCAUAAUUCCUUAUUAAGAAGAGAUUCUGUGGGAUUAGAUCAGGUGCAGGACUCUUUUGCAGAUAAGACCUAUGAGGUGGAGGAGUCUCUUUCAGACACCAUUUGUGUUGUCCAGAUUGGAGAUGGAGAAUUUAUCACAGUUGGCUAUGAAACAUGGCCAAGUGAUAGUAGCACCACUUUUCAUGAUUCCUUAUUGAGAAGAGAUUCUGCAGGACCAGAUCAGGUAGGCAGCAGGAUGCCUGGAAGGGGAAGGGAAGCCGAGUCUCCUUGUCUCUUGACUAUUGUCCUGAUUCUAGAUGAAGCUCCUGCUUCUACGUUUCUUCCAUCCCAGAUGUUUUCAAUGAAUGACUUAUUCUAUGAAGUCAACCACAAAUGACCUGAUUUUCCUUUCCAACUGGAGUGGCAUUUCCUCCUCGCAGAUGAACUUUUUUUUGUCUUUAGGUGACCUUUCAAGAUGUGUCUGUGGAUUUCACGGAGGAGGAGCAGGCCCUGUUGGAUCCUGGCCAAAGAGCCUUGCACCAGCAAGUCAUGGAGGAGGAUUUAGAGAUUGUGUCCUCUCUGGGUAAAGCUCCUUUAUUCAUAUUAAAACCAGCACUUUGAAUUGUGUCUGGAAACAAAUUGGCUAUCAAUGUAGCUGUGGCAACAAGAGUUGGGGUGCUUGCUCUACCUAGACAGUCUGUCUGCAGCCACAAGUAGAGCACAGUACUGUCUUUGAAACUGGAUGUAACAAAGGCAGGUACUAGAUUUGGCUUUUGAAAAUGCAGAUACAGUUGGCACACAAAUCUUAAAUAUGCAAAUCACUGCUUGCCACCAGAGAAACUCAGCACGAAGGAUGAGUGGGCCUCCAGCUUUAGUGCUGAGUCUAGGUGGGCCCCAAACUGCGGACCUGUAUAUUCAGGGAGGGUGUGAUUCCAUCCAGCACAAGCUGAAUCAUUUUCCCUGGUCUGUAUUGCAGCUGACCAGGAGCACCACUGUCUUGUAUGGAUUCAGUUUGUCUUCAUCUAGCUAGUUAUUGAUGACAGUUUAGAUA
rnacentral:lncRNA from 1 species